GAUUAAUCCUUGCUUCUAUUUCUUUUCACAAUUACCGGUAUUGAGAAAAUGCAUGUAUCUUUCAGGAAUUUAAUCUGAUUCAGUAGAACUGAUUGAGGUUAAGAAACUUUAGCAUUAGUAGUAAAUAAAUUGGUUUGCCCUUUUAUCAAUAGAGGGAACUCCCCAGGAAAGCAUCUGUGAAAUGUGGCUUGUGUUGUGACCCCCUGUAACAGGACGGGCAGGUUUAUUCAUAGUGUUUGCUUGUCCCAGUGAUUUUCUGAGCUGAAAUUAUCGUUUAUAGUGUUUUUUCCUCUAUCUUAGUGAGUUUCCUCUGCUUUUUCCUAGGUACAUUUCCCGGGUCCUUCGCAGGCUUCCCUCACAAACUUACUCCGAAAUGGUGCGAUAGCUGCUGCGCUGUUCAUAAGCUUCAUUCUGGCUCUCUAUACAGUUCUGUGGAAAUGCAUGGUCUCCCCACCCAGAAGGUGAGAGAGAAGAUGAUAUAUAGGUGGAAUCCUUGUUUUUUCACUAAUUAGGUUAAUAUAUAUGCAAAGUAUGAUAUAUGCAAAAUAUGAGCUGUGAACAAUAAUUCAGUUAAAAUACUCAAUCUAAGUGUAAACUGGGAGGUCUUCACUGUGGAAAAUCCUAAAGCAAGCAUAUUGUCUAUAAUACCCUGAAAAAAUCUCCAAAAUGAUAUAUUUACAAGACAUUUUUUAUUUUAAUUGUAAUAAUAUACAGCUCUGGAAAAAAAGAGACCACUUCAGUUUCUGAAUCAAUUUCUCUGAUUUCGCUAUUUAUAUGUAUACGCUUGAGUAAAAUGAACUACGGACAACACUUCUCCCAAAUUCCAAAUAAAAGCAUUUAUUUGUAGAAAAUAAGAAAUGGC
rnacentral:lncRNA from 1 species